UUUUUGANAAUAAUUUAAAGUCUAAUCUGCCCACUGAUAUUAUAUUGAAGGGCUGCAGUAUUUUGACUGUACAAAGGUAGCAUAAUCAUUAGUCUCUUAAUUGGUGACUUGUAUGAAGGAUUUGAUGAAAUAUAAACUGUCUCAUUUUAAUUUAUUGAAUUUAAUUUUUUAGUUAAAAAGCUAAAAUUUAAUUAAAAGAC
rnacentral:rRNA from 1 species